ACCACUAUUUAAAUAUUUUCUUGCUUUACCAAAUAUUGAUCUAGCUAGAAUCAAAUAGCUCAUUCAUAGUAACACUUACAUCUUGGUAUUCAACUUUCUGACCAAAUAUUUUCUUGCUUUACCAAGUCCAUCCAUACUUUCAUAGUAACACUUACAUCUUGCUUUAUCAAAUAGCUCAUUCAUAGUAUUACUCUCUUUUCUGUUGCUUCUCUGUCUUAGUUUGUUUGGUCUACUAGCAGUACAUGAAUCUAUGAUGCUAUUAUCUCCAGAACUAAAAGGUGCAUUUGAAGAAAUGGCAGUACUGCAUGACAGAACGAAAGAAAUGAGGUUUUUUAAUCUGGGGGUACGGACAAAGAAACAUUUAUUCAAAGGUUCAAUAAUGACAGCAUACCGUUCUUUGAGAACCAACCCGGCCUAACCCACAACUGCAACUUUUGAGUCAGCUUCAGAAACAGGAAAUAGAAAUCUUGUAACAAGGUUGUUUACAAGGGGCCAUCUUGAUACUUGAGUCUCCAAGUAUUCAAAUCAAUAAUCAUUAAUGGUGAUGGAUCCUAUCUCCAAGUUAAGGGUAUCUUCUUGAUCUAGGAAAUCUGUUUACCCUACUAUAAUAUUGCAUAUUAGUUCUGGUUGAUUAUGCACGUGUGUCUUAGGCAACAUUACAUACUAAUAUGGAUGAUUGUAGAGGUUGACUGGCAUUGUUUUGUGAAUUGGAGCCUAUAAUGAACCAAAUUAACACUCUAAGCUUUUAAUCAGCAACUAAUUA
rnacentral:lncRNA from 1 species